AACGAACGCUGGCGGCAUGCCUAACACAUGCAAGUCGAACGAGACCUUCGGGUCUAGUGGCGCACGGGUGCGUAACGCGUGGGAAUCUGCCCUUGGGUUCGGAAUAACAGCGAGAAAUUGCUGCUAAUACCGGAUGAUGACGUAAGUCCAAAGAUUUAUCGCCCAAGGAUGAGCCCGCGUAGGAUUAGCUAGUUGGUGAGGUAAAGGCUCACCAAGGCGACGAUCCUUAGCUGGUCUGAGAGGAUGAUCAGCCACACUGGGACUGAGACACGGCCCAGACUCCUACGGGAGGCAGCAGUGGGGGAAUAUUGGACAAUGGGCGAAGCCUGAUCCAGCAAUGCCGCGUGAGUGAUGAAGGCCUUAGGGUUGUAAAGCUCUUUUACCCGGGAUGAUAAUGACAGUACCGGGAGAAUAAGCUCCGGCUAACUCCGUGCCAGCAGCCGCGGUAAU
rnacentral:rRNA from 1 species